rnacentral:rRNA from 1 species
GCAGUGGGGAAUCUUGCGCAAUGGGCGAAAGCCUGACGCAGCCAUGCCGCGUGAAUGAUGAAGGUCUUAGGAUUGUAAAAUUCUUUCAGUAGGGACGAUAAUGACGGUACCUACAGAAGAAGCCCCGGCUAACUUCGUGCCAGCAGCCGCGGUAAUACGAAGGGGGCUAGCGUUGCUCGGAAUUACUGGGCGUAAAGGGAGCGUAGGCGGACAUUUAAGUCAGGGGUGAAAUCCCAGAGCUCAACUCUGGAACUGCCUUUGAUACUGGGUGUCUUGAGUGUGGAAGAGGUCAGUGGAAUUGCGAGUGUAGAGGUGAAAUUCGUAGAUAUUCGCAGGAACACCAGUGGCGAAGGCGGCUCACUGGCUCGAUACUGACGCUGAGGUGCGAAAGCGUGGGGAGCAAACAGGAUUAGAUACCC